CCUCUCUCCCCCUCCCCCGCCGCCUGAGCCGCGCCACUUUCACUUUCCCGUUCGGCUUCUUUAUCCUGGACUGACUCCGGAGAGCCUGGCUGUGAGCUGGCGAUGGAGUCAGGAGGAGGAGCCAUGAUGCAGGACUUCCUACUAGACGCCUUAGAGGAUCUUGGCCAAGAAGAUUUUGAGAAGUUUAAGUUUAAGUUGCGUACUGCAGCUGCUCCCGGGGGUAAAAAUAUUCCCCUUGGACGGAUGGAGAAGGCAACUCGGGAGAAGAUGGUGGACCUUCUGGUUGAGUUUUAUGAGGAGGAGGCUGCUGCCCUGAUGAUAACUAUUUUUGAAGACAUUGGUCUCAAGUACAAUGCUUCUAAACUCAGCAAGGAGGUUGGAAAGCAAGUUCAAGAUUACAAAAAAAAGUAUGCUGAGAAUGUGAAGGAAGAAUACUUGCUAACCGAGGACAGAAACAGUCUCUUUGGUGAGAGCACCCCAUUAAAUGCCCGCUAUAUAGAGUUACUUAUCAUCAAAAAACACCGGCCUCAGAAGCAGAGGGAACAUGAAUUGGUUGCUACUGGCAGGCUGCACAUGGAGAUCUUGGAAACCAGCAGUUCAGAUUAUUCAUCAACUGAUAUACAAAGCCUUUUUAAACCUGAUGAAUCGGGAAUAGCCCCAAGAACUGUGGUGUUGCAAGGACCUGCUGGUAUUGGUAAAACGAUGACCGUGCAGAAGAUUAUGCUGGGCUGGGCUGCUGGGGAGCUGUACCAGGAUGUGUUUGACUACGUGUUCUGCAUUCGCUGCAGAGAACUAAGCCUUGCUGAAGAUGCCAGCAGCCUGGCUGACCUUAUUGUAGAUCAGUGCCAAGACAUGUAUGCCCCAGUGAAAGGGAUUUUAGCCCACCCUGAAAAGCUGCUUUUCAUCAUUGAUGGCUUUGAUGAGCUUUGUUGCUCCUUAGAGCUCAUAGGAGACAGUUUCUGUGAUGAUCCUUAUUCAAAGGUGUCCAUACAGGGUGUUCUGAGCAGCUUGUUGAAAAAGAAGCUUUUGCCCAAAUCCUACCUGUUAAUCACCACGAGGCCUGGUGCUGCAGAUAGGCUGCAUGGGUGCUUGAAGUUUCCGAGAUUUGCUGAGAUCCUUGGAUUCACUGAGAAAGGUCGCCGUGAAUAUUUUUCCAAGUUCUUUAAAGAUGAUCAGAAAGCCAACCUAGCAUUGAGAUUCAUUGAAAAUACCAAUGCAGUGUCCACCAUCUGCUUCAUCCCCAUGGUGUGUUGGAUCAUCUGCUCUGUCAUCAGAGUUGAACUGGAAACUGAAGACGAGAUUGCAGACACCUUGGACACCACAACAAAAGUCUUUGUACAGUUUUCUCACAAUCUUAUUAAGCAUGAUUCUGCGAAAUUGAAGAACUGCUGUCUGAAUGAGCUUGGAAGACUCUGUUCCUUGGCACGGGCUGGCAUCUUGGGACAGAAAAUUCUCUUUGAGGAGCAGGAUCUCAAGGAGCAUAAUUUGGAGGUUUCUGCUCUUAAAGACCUCUUUCUAGACAGAAGAACAUUCCAGAGGGGGAUUGGCCGGCACAACCUGUACAGUUUUCUCCAUCUUUGCUUCCAGGAAUUUUUUGCUGCCAUGUGGUAUAUUCUGGAGAAGGACUCAGUGGAAGUUUCAGAUAACAGUAUGGGGGACUUGAAGACACUUUUAGCUGAGUGCGAGAAGCCAGGCAAUGAGCAUUUGACAUUAACGGUAUGCUUCAUAUUUGGCCUGAGCAGUGAAAAGGUACGCAUCUUCCUUGAGCAAACUCUGCAGUGCAAGACAUCUGACCUUGUGAAGCCUCUGUUGCUUCAGAGAGCAGCAGAAGUGGCGACUGAGGAGCCUCCUCGAAAAGGUCAUUGCCUGCUGAAGUUUUUCCACUGCCUGUUUGAGACUCAGGAAGCAGAAUUUGCAAAGCAUGUGAUGCAUCAUUUCCAGAAUAUUGACCUUUCUUUCCAGACACUCUCGGUGCUGGACUGCAGGGUUUUGGCAUUCUGCUUGCAGCACAGUAAACUCAAGGAUCACUCUAUUGAUCUAACGUUUUGCAGGCUGAAGUCUUACCAUAUCAGAGCUUUGGCUCCAGGAAUAAGAAACUGUACAACUUUAAACUUUGGAAGUAACAAACUUGGAAACUCGGGAGUGCAUGUUCUCUGUGCCACUCUGAAGGAACUAGACUGUAAUGUGACUACUCUAAAUCUUGAUGAGAAUUACCUCACAGAUGCUUGCGCCCAAGAACUUUGCAAUAUUCUGAGCACCAGCCGCACGCUCGGCUCCCUAAACCUUCAAAACAACUCCUUCUCAGAGGUUUCUGUGCCUUUCAUCCGCCACCUUAUGGAGACCUGCCCCAGCCUGUCUGUUCUGUGGUUGGAAAGUAAUGGAUUUGGUGAAAAAGGAAGGAAACGCUUGAAACAGCAAGAGAAAAAGAUAACUAAGUCAGGACGUCGUUUUUUGUUGUGGCUGUGACACAUUCUAACAGCAGUCAUGUUACCAAAGGGCGGUAUUGUACUGAAUCAGACUGGCUGCAAUGUUUAUGGGCAGAGGCAAUCCUUGCAACAUCCUAAUUGGUUCCAUAUUUAUUACAUGCCCGCCUUAUAUAAACCUAGCAGGAGGACUCCUGA